rnacentral:rRNA from 1 species
CACCGCGGUUAUACGAGAGACCCAAGUUGAUAGACACCGGCGUAAAGAGUGGUUAAGAUUUAUUCAACACUAAAGCCGAACGCCCUCAGAGCUGUUAUACGCACCCGAGGGUAAGAAGCCCAACCACGAAAGUGGCUUUAAACUAUCCGAACCCACGAAAGCUAUGACA